rnacentral:tRNA from 1 species
UCCCAUGUGGCUCAGUUGGUAGAGCAUGGUGCUUGCAACGCCAGUUGCAGGAUCAAUUCCCAUGGGGG